AUUUAUAAUUUUGUUAGUAUGUAUAUUAUAUGUCUUUAAUACAUUGUUUAUCAUUAAUACAUUAUUUCUCUAUUAUUUUACUAUUAUAAUUCUGAAUAUGAACUUUAUAUAUAUAGUAAAAAAACAGUUUUCUUUAAUAUACAAUCAAUUGCUACUAUCUGAUAGAUGCUGAGAAUAAAACAGAAUAACGGGUUAUGUUAGCGUGUUCGGAAUUUGGUUUGUGGUUUAAUAUAUUUCUCUGUUGUCCGGUAUAGAUAACGGUUUUUCAGUUGUAGUAUUUUUGUGUGGAUUAAUUGCUUUCACCACGUGUCUCCCAAAUAUAAUUGUAUUAGGCACGGAAGAAUGCUAUGGUGUGGUCUUUAACCUCAGUUUUAAACAGAUCCCACUUGACACCAAUAUCAUUGACACCAGACAACGUAGCUGAAGAAACAAUAGUAAUUGGAUCUUAUCGUGUAAAUUUUGGAAUAGUGAUUUCGUAAAACUUGGUGUUCUAUUAAUGGAAAUUGAGCUCUGCGUAUAAAGAAUUGACAUGCUUUGAACAGGAAAAAGUAAAAGGAUGUAAUAGCAUAUUACUGAACAAAAGGAAAAUAGACAAUGACAGUUGUGCGAAUAAAACGGAUAAAACGAUGUGAGCUUUUUUGGGUAAUAAAUUGUAGAGUUCAAUAUCUGGAACAUAAACAAGAUUUUACCUGUUGGACACAGAAUAGGUACUAUUAAUAGAUUUAUUUUUUCCCAAGAUUUCUGUUUUCUCUUCUUGGGAGUAAUUGUUAUAAAAUGUUUAAAUUUCUGUAUAAUUAUUAUAUUUUCUUUUCUAUAAAAAAAUAUAUUGUACAAACUGCAAUUGUUUUGUAUAAGAUUAAUAUAAUUAUAAUUAAAGUAUUUUAAGUUGACAUACUUUUGUAUUCUCUUAUACAUCAUUUUGUUUGUUUCAGAUUUGACUGAUUUAUUUUCAUCCACAUUUGAAUGUAUGUAAUCCUCAAUUACAUCACACUCAUUUUUAUUUUUGUUUUUUUUGUUAUAUAAAAACAGGCUAAAUAUUACAAUUAUAUACAAAUAUUUA